rnacentral:rRNA from 1 species
UACGUAGGGUGCAAGCGUUAAUCGGAAUUACUGGGCGUAAAGCGUGCGCAGGCGGUUUUUUAAGUCUGACGUGAAAGCCCCCGGCUCAACCUGGGAAUUGCGUUGGAGACUGCAAGGCUUGAAUCUGGCAGAGGGGGGUAGAAUUCCACGUGUAGCAGUGAAAUGCGUAGAGAUGUGGAGGAACACCGAUGGCGAAGGCGGCCCCCUGGGUCAAGACUGACGCUCAUGCACGAAAGCGUGGGGAGCAAACAGG